rnacentral:rRNA from 1 species
GACGUAGGGCGCGAGCGUUGUCCGGAUUUAUUGGGCGUAAAGAGCUCGUAGGCGGUUUGUCGCGUCGAAUGUGAAAACCCGGGGCUCAACUCCGGGCCUGCAUUCGAUACGGGGCAGACUAGAGUUCGGUAGGGGGAGACUGGAAUUCCUGGUGUAGCGGUGAAAUGCGCAGAUAUCAGGAGGAACACCGGUGGCGAAGGCGGGUCUCUGGGCCACUGACUGACGCUGGAGAAGCGAAAGCUGGGGAGCGAACAGG